UCUUCUGACCUAAAUAGCUAGCGUUUGUACCCUGUAUCUUUGUAUUACCUGGCAUCCUUGACUACUGGCUUCCUACUCGACUUCCCUCUGGUUAUAGCGAUUCGGUACUUCUGUCCUUUCCUGGCUUUGACGCAGUUUGCUGACUUUGACUUUUGUUAGAAAAGAAACUGUCUUCUUCUUCGCUUCGCUCUGAACGCCUGGAAAGUGUGACAAGUGUUAUAAAGUAAAAGACAACAAUAAUAGACAUGAAAAGUAAAUUUUAUUAAACAUGUUUACAUAACAUGAGUUGGAAGUUUAUUUAAAAGCACAGGGGGGUGUUAAGACAAGUGGUCAAAUAGAAAGAUAGUACCCAAUUAUAAUUAGUUCAGUUGUUUUGGCCACUAAGACAGUACAUAAUCUAGUAGUGCACCAGUGCUUCAGUUCUUCCUGCUCAGCAGGUCAAGCAGUAACCUACCUAUGCCCUCCACAAAUAUGGGCAUAAUGGUUUCAGCCUGUAAUAAAUAAUUCACUUGGUGCAGGCAGUAUGUCUAUGAAUCAAAACCUAGUGUGUACACAAUUUCUACAUGUGUUACAGCCCCACAGUAGGAAUUUACACCAAAAUAUUUAUUAUAAGGAAUUUGGUCCGAACUACAUUACGUUUCCAUAGGGUAGAAAAUAAUGUCCAUCUAUAGGCAUUUAGCACCAGACUAACAUAUCUAGUCUGGUUAAAAACCUGCAAAAUGUCUAUCAGAAAAAUGGAUGGCUUAAAUUUCUUGAUUAUGUCAUUAUCAUUACGGUCAAACUGUACAAGUACAUGCAACAUACAAGCCAGCCUAUGUGGAACUAACACACAUUAUUAUUUAACCUUUUUUUUUUGUCUCUUUUUUUU